rnacentral:tRNA from 1 species
CUUAGUUAUAGGUUCAAUUCCUAUUUUUCUA